rnacentral:rRNA from 1 species
UACAGAGGGGGCAAGCGUUGUUCGGAAUUACUGGGCGUAAAGGGCGCGUAGGCGGCCUGCUAAGUCGAACGUGAAAUCCCCGGGCUCAACCCGGGAACUGCGUCCGAUACUGGCAGGCUUGAAUCCGGGAGAGGGAUGUGGAAUUCCAGGUGUAGCGGUGAAAUGCGUAGAUAUCUGGAGGAACACCGGUGGCGAAGGCGGCAUCCUGGACCGGCAUUGACGCUGAGGCGCGAAAGCUAGGGGAGCAAACGGG